rnacentral:rRNA from 1 species
UACAGAGGGGGCAAGCGUUUAUUCGGAAUUAUUGGGCGUAAAGGGCGCGUAGGCGGCUUGGCAAGUGGAUGGUGAAAUCCCUCGGCUUAACCGAGGAACUGCCGUCCAAACUGCUUCGCUUGAGACCGGGAGAGGUGAGUGGAAUUCCCAGUGUAGCGGUGAAAUGCGUAGAUAUUGGGAGGAACACCAGUGGCGAAGGCGGCUCACUGGACCGGUACUGACGCUGACUGCGCGAAAGCGUGGGGAGCAAACGGG